GUUCCUGUCCAACGUUAAUCGGGGCAGGGUGAGUCGACCCCUAAGGCGAGGCCGAAAGGCGUAGUCGAUGGGAAACAGGUUAAUAUUCCUGUACUUGGUGUUACUGCGAAGGGGGGACGGAGAAGGCUAUGUUGGCCGGGCGACGGUUGUCCCGGUUUAAGCGUGUAGGCUGGUUUUCCAGGCAAAUCCGGAAAAUCAAGGCUGAGGCGUGAUGACGAGGCACUACGGUGCUGAAGCAACAAAUGCCCUGCUUCCAGGAAAAGCCUCUAAGCAUCAGGUAACAUCAAAUCGUACCCCAAACCGACACAGGUGGUCAGGUAGAGAAUACCAAGGCGCUUGAGAGAACUCGGGUGAAGGAACUAGGCAAAAUGGUGCCGUAACUUCGGGAGAAGGCACGCUGAUAUGUAGGUGAAGUCCCUCGCGGAUGGAGCUGAAAUCAGUCGAAGAUACCAGCUGGCUGCAACUGUUUAUUAAAAACACAGCACUGUGCAAACACGAAAGUGGACGUAUACGGUGUGACGCCUGCCCGGUGCCGGAAGGUUAAUUGAUGGGGUUAGCGCAAGCGAAGCUCUUGAUCGAAGCCCCGGUAAACGGCGGCCGUAACUAUAACGGUCCUAAGGUAGCGAAAUUCCUUGUCGGGUAAGUUCCGACCUGCACGAAUGGCGUAAUGAUGGCCAGGCUGUCUCCACCCGAGACUCAGUGAAAUUGAACUCGCUGUGAAGAUGCAGUGUACCCGCGGCAAGACGGAAAGACCCCGUGAACCUUUACUAUAGCUUGACACUGAACAUUGAGCCUUGAUGUGUAGGAUAGGUGGGAGGCUUUGAAGUGUGGACGCCAGUCUGCAUGGAGCCGACCUUGAAAUACCACCCUUUAAUGUUUGAUGUUCUAACGUUGACCCGUAAUCCGGGUUGCGGACAGUGUCUGGUGGGUAGUUUGACUGGGGCGGUCUCCUCCUAAAGAGUAACGGAGGAGCACGAAGGUUGGCUAAUCCUGGUCGGACAUCAGGAGGUUAGUGCAAUGGCAUAAGCCAGCUUGACUGCGAGCGUGACGGCGCGAGCAGGUGCGAAAGCAGGUCAUAGUGAUCCGGUGGUUCUGAAUGGAAGGGCCAUCGCUCAACGGAUAAAAGGUACUCCGGGGAUAACAGGCUGAUACCGCCCAAGAGUUCAUAUCGACGGCGGUGUUUGGCACCUCGAUGUCGGCUCAUCACAUCCUGGGGCUGAAGUAGGUCCCAAGGGUAUGGCUGUUCGCCAUUUAAAGUGGUACGCGAGCUGGGUUUAGAACGUCGUGAGACAGUUCGGUCCCUAUCUGCCGUGGGCGCUGGAGAACUGAGGGGGGCUGCUCCUAGUACGAGAGGACCGGAGUGGACGCAUCACUGGUGUUCGGGUUGUCAUGCCAAUGGCACUGCCCGGUAGCUAAAUGCGGAAGAGAUAAGUGCUGAAAGCAUCUAAGCACGAAACUUGCCCCGAGAUGAGUUCUCCCUGACUCCUUGAGAGUCCUGAAGGAACGUUGAAGACGACGACGUUGAUAGGCCGGGUGUGUAAGCGCAGCGAUGCGUUGAGCUAACCGGUACUAAUGAACCGUGAGGCUUAACCUUACAACGCCGAAGCUGUU
rnacentral:rRNA from 1 species